UCCACCUCUUGGUUUGAUGCAGAUUACUUCACUUGCUUUGGAGGGUCACCAGUACCACGGUUCCUUUUCCUAUUCCAUCUGCUGGCUGGACGCCUAGUCAUUUGACAGUUACCCUUCUACUAAGGAUGAAGUCUCCUCUUGCCAGAAAAACUUCUGUGACCCUCUAGAGUUGGAAAAAAAACAAAGGGUAAUAGACAGCAAUGACAACAAAAACCCCAAACACGUAUUUUUGCCUACACUUUCUAGGUCAAUGGAAAAAAGAGUAAAAAAAAUUUAGCUACAUUCUAUUUGAUUAAAUGUUUUGAAGAGAAAGGAAGUGGAAGAAAAAAAAUAGUAUGGGGACCUGGACAGAAAGAUAAGACAAUAGACACACAAAACAGAGAGAUAAAUAGAAAGGAUGUAGAGGUUUAUCUGAUUCUGCAGGAUAUGUUAAUUAGUUUUUAUGUCACUCUCUGCUAGUUCUUUAACUGGGUCACAGAAUAUUUAUCACCUUAAAACACUAUUCUUUGAAACUGCUAAUCAAUCAAUUAACCACUGUUCACAGCUCUUUAGCUGCUACUUACCUGCUAGAAAGGAAUUUUUCCAGAAAAGUUUCUAUCCAUUUUUGUUUAUGACUGCAUUUUUGUGCCCAGUACUUCUGGUUUAUGUUAG
rnacentral:lncRNA from 1 species